UGGGGAAUUUUGCGCAAUGGGCGAAAGCCUGACGCAGCAACGCCGCGUGGGUGAUGAAGGUCUUCGGAUCGUAAAACCCUGUCGUCAGGGACGAAGGUGGGGGGGUUAACAGCCUCUUUGCUUGACGGUACCUGGAGAGGAAGCCCCGGCUAACUCUGUGCCAGCAGCCGCGGUAAUACAGAGGGGGCAAGCGUUAUUCGGAAUUACUGGGCGUAAAGGGCGCGUAGGCGGUUGUUUAAGUCAGAUGUGUAAUCCCCGUGCUUAACUUGGGAACUGCAUCUGAGACUGGAGAGCUAGAGUGCUGGAGAGGGUGGUAGAAUUCCACGUGUAGCGGUGAAAUGCGUAGAGAUGUGGAGGAAUACCAGUGGCGAAGGCGGCCACCUGGACAGCAACUGACGCUGAGGCGCGAAAGUGUGGGUAGCAAACA
rnacentral:rRNA from 1 species